AUUGAACGCUGGCGGCAGGCCUAACACAUGCAAGUAGGGCGAUCGGAGGACGGGUGAGUAAUGUAUGGGGAUCUGCCUGAUGGCGGGGGUUAACUACUGGAAACGUUAGCUAAUACCGAAUACCAUCAGAUGAACCCAGAUGGGAUUAGCUAGUGGGUAAGGAAAAGGCUUACCUAGGCGACGAUCCCUAUCUGGUCUGGGAGGAUGAGGGGCCCAAUUGGGCCUGAGAAACGGCCAGGACUCCACCGGGAGGCAGCAGAGGGAAAUAUUGCACAAUGGGCGCAAGCCUGCUGAAGCCAUGCGGGGUGUAUGAAGAAGGCCUUCGGGUUGUAAAGUACUUUCAGUCGGGAGGCGUUACCGACAGAAGAAGCACCGGCUAACUCCGUGCCAGCAGCCGCGGUAAUAC
rnacentral:rRNA from 1 species